CGUAGGCGGGGAUGUAAGUCAGACGUGAAAUCCCGGGGCUCAACCUCGGAACAGCAUUUGAAACUACAUCUCUCGAGGGUAGGCGGAGAAAACGGAAUUCCACAAGUAGCGGUGAAAUGCGUAGAUAUGUGGAAGAACACCGGUGGCGAAGGCGGUUUUCUGGCUUAUUCCUGACGCUAAAGCGCGAAAGCAAGGGGAUCAAACA
rnacentral:rRNA from 1 species